AUAAAAACAGAGAAAAAGAGGAGUAGGGAUAAGGAGUAUUAAGAGAGGAAAGUUUAUUAGCUGAGAGACUUUCUAUAUAAAUUAUCUUGAAGGUAGCUUUGGAGUUUCUUUAUUGAAAUAAUAGUAGAUAAAGACGGUGGUCACAUCGUUAAUUUUAAUGAGUGCUUGAUUGAUUUCGAGAAUUAAGGUGGUAACGCGCAUUGUCGUCCUUUGG
rfam:Clostridium novyi NT, complete genome.